CCUACGGGAGGCAGCAGUGGGGAAUAUUGCGCAAUGGGCGAAAGCCUGACGCAGCGACGCCGCGUGAGGGAUGAAGGUCUUCGGAUCGUAAACCUCUGUCAGCAGGGAAGAACGGUCACUGUGCUAAUCAGCAGUGAAUUGACGGUACCUGCAAAGGAAGCACCGGCUAACUCCGUGCCAGCAGCCGCGGUAAUACGGAGGGUGCGAGCGUUAAUCGGAAUUACUGGGCGUAAAGCGCUCGUAGGCGGUAUGUCAAGUCAAGGGUGAAAUGCCCGCGUUCAACGUGGGAACUGCCUUUGAAACUGGCAAACUGGAGUGUGUGAGAGGAUAGUGGAAUUCCAGGUGUAGGAGGGAAAUCCGUAGAUAUCUGGAGGAACAUCAGUGGCGAAGGCGACUAUCUGGCACAUAACUGACGCUGAGGAGCGAAAGCGUGGGUAGCAAACAGGAUUAGAUACCCGGGUAGUC
rnacentral:rRNA from 1 species